UCUUUCUUUCCUUUAUCUCUUUCUUCCUUCUUUCCUUCCUUUCUCCUUUCUUUCUUUCCUUCCUUCCUUUCUCAUUUCCUUCAUUCCUUCCUUUCAUUCUUUCCUUCCUUUCUCCUUUCUCUCUUUCUUCCUUCCCCCUUUCUCUUUCUUCCUCUCCUUCCUUCCUUCCUUUCUCAUCCUCCUCCUCUUCCUCCUUCUCAUUCCGAAUUUGUGACCCUUGGAAAUACUUGACAUGAUAGCCUGAAACAUCUGACAAUACAGGCCUGAGACGCAGCAACGAGGGGUCAAGUAUACUGUAUAAAUAUAUAUAUACAAGAAACAAUAUACAAGAGGGAAAGGCGCAAGUUAUAAGCCAUGAACCGAGACACCUUUCAAUACGGAUACAUAAGGAACAUACAUACAGAACACAAGGAAACAAAGGCACAUCUGAUGGGAGUAUAAACGACACGACUUUCUGCGCAAAUCAAUAGAGGAAAGAAAAAAAAAAGGUCAUCUAUUCAGAUCAUAAAUAAGAGAAAUUGCUACAAAAAUAGGGAUGUUCGAUUGACUUUUAUAUGGACUAAUUAGAAGAAAAGAAAAUGCUAGAAUGAGAGUAUAAGCGACAUAACUUUCUGUAUAAAUCCAUAGAGAAAACCAGGAAAAUAAAAAGGGUCUAUUUGGAGCAUAAAUAAGAGGAAUGAUUACAAAAAUAGGCUAUGUUCACUGAUGACUGGACUAAUUAGACAAAAAAAGGCUUAAAUGAGUAUAAACGACAUAACAUUCUGCGCAAAUCCAUAGAGGAAACAAUGAAAAAAUAAGGCUUGUCAAUUCAGAGCGUAAACAAGAGAAAUACUGUUACAAAAAUAGGCUAUGUUCGCUGCUGUGUAUAGACAAAUUACUAUGCACAAAAUUAAAAGAAAAAAAUGCUAGGCGGAGAGUAUAAACGACAUAUUAUUCUGCGCAAAAUCCAUAGAGGAAACAAUGAAAAAAUAAGGCUUGUUGAUUCAGAGCAUAAAUAAGAGAAAUACUGUUACAAAAAUAGGCUAUGUUUGCUGAAGUGUAUAGACAAAUUAAUAUGCACAAGAUUAGAAGAACAAAUGCUAGGAGGAGAGUAUAAACGACACAACUUUCUGCGUAAAUACAUAGAGAAAACAAGGGGAAAAAAGGCUCGUCUACUCUGAGCAUAAAUAAGACAGAUCAUAAGACAAAAAUUCAAAUAAAAUGCUUGGCUUGUCAACUCGAGAGCAUAAAUAAUACAAAUAAUGCAACAAAAAUGAGAAAAAAAUAACUGAUAGGCUUGUCUAUUCAGAGGAUAAAUAAAUUGCUACAAAAAUUAAAUAAAAAAUACUUGGCUUGUAUAUUUGGAUCGUAAAUAAGAUGAACUGAUACACAAUUAGGAAAAAAUAAUGCUAGGCUUGUUGAUUCCGAGGAUAAAUAAGAUACCUUGCAACAAACAUCAGAAAAAAAUGCUAGGCUAUCUGUUUGGAGCAUAAAUUAGAGAGUGCUACAAAAAUAAGAAGAAAAGAAUGCAAGGCUAUCUGUUUGGAGCAUAAAUUGGACAGUACUGCAAAAAUAAUUAGAAAAGAAUGCAAGGCUAUCUGUUUGGAGCAUAAAUUGGACAGUACUACAAAAAUAAUUAGAAAAGAAUGCAAGGCUAUCUGUUUGGAGCAUAAAUUGGACAGUGCUACAAAAAUAAUUAGAAAAGAAUGCAAGGCUAUCUGUUUGGAGCAUAAAUUGGACAGUGCUACAAAAAUAAUUAGAAAAGAAUGCAAGGCUAUCUGUUUGGAGCAUACACUAGACAUUGCUGCAAAAAUAAUUAGAAAAGAAUGCAAGGCUAUCUGUUUGGAGCAUAAAUUGGACAGUGCUGCAAAAAUAAUUAGAAAAGAAUGCAAGGCUAUCUGUUUGGAGCAUAAAUUGGACAGUGCUACAAAAAUAAUUAGAAAAGAAUGCAAGGCUAUCUGUUUGGAGCAUAAAUUGGACAGUGCUGCAAAAAUAAUUAGAAAAGAAUGCAAGGCUAUCUGUUUGGAGCAUACAUUAGACAGUGCUGCAAAAAUAAUUAGAAAAGAAUGCAAGGCUAUCUGUUUGGAGCAUAAAUUAGACAGUGCUGCAAAAAUAAUUUGAAAAGAAUGCAAGGCUAUCUGUUUGGAGCAUACACUAGACAUUGCUGCAAAAAUAAUUAGAAAAGAAUGCAAGGCUAUCUGUUUGGAGCAUAAAUUGGACAGUGCUACAAAAAUAAGAAAAGAAUGCAAGCCUAUCUGUUUGGAGCAUACACUAGACAUUGCUGCAAAAAUAAGAAAAGAAUGCAAGGCUAUCUGUUUGGAGCAUACACUAGACAAUGCUACAAAAAAAUACAAAAAAAUCAGAAAAAAAUUAUGCUAGGCUAUCUGUUUGGAGCAUAAAUUAGACAGCACUGCAAAAAAUCCCCCCAAAAUAAUACUAGGCUAUCUAUUUGGAGCAUAAAUUAGACAGUGCUGCAAAAACUCAGAAAAAAGAAUGCAAGGCUAUCCGUUUGGAGCAUAAAUUACAGAGCUAUGAAAAUGGAAAAAAAAAAAAAAAUACAAGGCUAUCAGAGAAUAAAUUGGACAUUGCUACGAAAAUGGGGAAAAAAAUGCUAGGCUAUCUGGAGCAUAAAUUAGUGAUACAAAAAUGGAAAAAAAUAAAAUGCUAGGCUAUCUGUUUGGACCAUAAAUAAGAUAGUGCUACAAAUAAUAAUAAUAAUAAUAAUAAUAAUAAUAAUAAUAAUAAUAAUAAUAAUAAUAAUAAUAAAAAUAAUAAUAAAAAUAUGCUUGUCUUUUCAGAGCGUAAAUAACACAAAUUGCAAGAAAGAUUAAGGAAAAACAAUGCUAGGCUUCUCUUUUCACAGCAUAAAUAACACAAAUUGCAAGGAAAAUUAAGGAAAAACAGGAUAAAUAACACAAAUUGCAAGGAAAAUUAAGGAAAAAAUAAGGCCAGGCUUCUCUAUUCACAGCAUAAAUAACACAAAUUGCAAGGAAAAUUAAGGAAAAAAUAAGGCCAGGCUUCUCUAUUCACAGCAUAAAUAACACAAAUUGCAAGGAAAAUUAAGGAAAAUCAAUGCUAGCUUUCUCUAUUCACAGCAUAAAUAACACAAAUUGCAAGGAAAUUUAAGGAAAAACAAUGCUAGGCUUCUCUAUUCACAGCAUAAAUAACACAAAUUGCAAGGAAAAUUAAGGAAAAUCAAUGCUAGCUUUCUCUAUUCACAGCAUAAAUAACACAAAUUGCAAGGAAAUUUAAGGAAAAACAAUGCUAGGCUUCUCUAUUCACAGCAUAAAAAACACAAAUUGCAAGGAAAAUUAAGGAAAAUACAAUGCUAGGCUUCUCUAUUCACAGCAUAAAUAACACGAAUUGCAAGGAAAAUUAAGGAAAAUACAAUGCUAGGCUUCUCUAUUCACAGCAUAAAUAACACGAAUUGCAAGGAAAAUUAAGGAAAAUACAAUGCUAGGCUUCUCUAUUCAAUGCAUAAACAACACGAAUUGGGACACGGAAUUAGCUUAUGUUCGUUAGUCUGUAUGUCAAGAAUUUUAGGUUAGUUUUCGAGACAAGAACAAGAAUAACAUGAGAAAAAAGGAACGGAAGGAGAAGAAAAAGACGAAAAUAAGAAGAAAAAGGAAAAAAGAAGAAGAGAAAAAAGAAAGAAGAAGAAGAAAAAGAUGAAAACAAGAAGAAAAAGGAAAGAAUAACAAGAGGAAAAAGGAACGGAAAUGAAAAAUAAAACAAAAAAUGAAAAAAGAAGAAAACUGAACACCAUCGCAGAAUCUAAAAAAAAAUAAGGUCGAGAAUAUUUACGUGACCUUUCCCAAACAAAAAAUAAGAGAAAAAAAGGGAAAAAAGAAAAGAAAAAAGAAGAAACAAAGAAGAAAGAAAAAAACAAACAUCAUCACAGAAUCUAUACAACAAUAAGGUCGGGAAUAUUCGGCUGACCUUUCCAGAACAAAAACAAGAAGAGGAGAAAAAGGAGCAAAAGAGAAAAAUGAGAACAAAAAGAAAGUUACACACCAUUGAAGAAUCUAUACAAUAAGGUCAGGAAUAUUCAGCUGACCUUUCCGAAACAAAAACAAAAGAAAAAAAGCAUCAAAAGGAAAAAGGAGGGAAGAAAAAGAUGAAAACAAGAAGAAAACCAAAAAAGAAGGAAAACUACACCCCAUCGAAGAAUCUAUACAGCAAUAAGGUCAAGAACUUUCAGGCGACCUUUCCGGAACAAAAACAAGAAAAAAAAAGGCAAAAAUAGAGAAAUACAAACAAACAAAAGGAAGAAGAAUAAAAGAAAUACACCAUCAGAGCAUCUAUACAACAAUAAGGUCAAGAAUAUUUGGAUGACCUUUCCAGAACAAGAGCAUGAAUGAGAGAAAAAGAGGAGAAAAAAAGACAAAAACAAGAAGAGAAACAAAAAAGAAGAAAGAAAACUACACACCAUCCAAGAAUCUAUACAAUAAUAAGGUCGGGAACAUUCAGGCGACCUUUCCGGAACAAAAAACAAGAGAAAAAAAAGAUCAACAUGAAAUAGAAGGGAAAAAAAGACGAAAACAAGAAGAAAAACAAAAAUAAUAAAAGAAAAUCGACACAUCAUCACAGAAUCUAUACAACAAUAAGGUCGGGAACAUUCAGGCGACCUUUCCAAA